UGGCAAGAUAUCGAACCAAGAGAUAGGAAGAUUGAGAAACUUUGUGAAUAUGCUCCUAAGAACCCAUUACGCAGUCCCAAGCAUUCUGUCUCCACAUAUUAGCAAUUAUCUUGAGCAGAGAUAUUACAAGGAUUUACGGAGUGAGAAUUUUGGAUUGCUGAAAGUUGUGUUGUGCAUUUAUAGGAAAUUGCUAUCGUCAUGUAAGGAGCAUAUGCCACUAUUCGCCAGUAGUUUAUUUGGGAUUGUCCGGACUCUUUUAGAACAAAUUGAACAGUACCAAAUGUAGAUUUCAAGUCGCAAUACUCUUGUUGAGUUUAUAAAUAGCCAGAUGGACAGUCCAUACAUGUUCAACUUAGAGGGCCUCAUCCCCAAACUUUGUCAAUUGGCUCAAGAAGUUGGAGACUGUGAAAGAGAUUUACGGUUACAUUUAGCAGGACUGCAGACUUUGGCUUUUAUAGUACGUUUUUUGCCCUAACUAAACAUCACUUAUAUUAAAAAUUGCUCAGAUGCAUAUUUUGGUAUGUUCAUACAUCUACGGACCUUUUUCUUGUCAUUGACAUUUUCUUCCUUAUAAUAUGCUCCUGUGUGCGCACGCGUGUGUGUGUACACGCGUGUGCGAGUGUGUUUGAAUAUAUAUACAAAAGGUGACAGGGUACCUGUCCCUAUUCUAGAAGGUGCUAGUCCAUUGUGAGGCGUCUAUUGUAGUUUGUCUUUAUGUGUUCCCAAUAUAUAGGGACAAAGAAAGCAAUUCACCUCAUUUUUCUUACAUUUUGCAUUUUCUAACAUGGUCUCAAAGCCAACUUCUUAGGUUUAGAAUUGUUGCCUAGUCCCCUUUAUUAAUAGAUUUUGGUCUCUCUUUCUUCCUCUCCCACCUUAAGCUUUUGAGUGUGUACUUCUUAGUUAGACAGUUUAGCCUAAUGAAGACAGUUUAUCCCACUUUGAAGUUUCUGGUCCAACUCGAGACAAACUCAGACCAAUUUGUCUGAUCCAAUAUGCACCUGGGUACCCAAUUUGAAUUGAGAAGUUGGUGCGAUCAGGAUUCGGUGUUGUAUAGGCCGAUUCAAUCUAUUUUGGCCAUUUGUCUUGUCUUUUCAAUUUGUUUCUCCAUAUUUCGGCCAGUUCUGGUCAGUUUUCAGUAUUUUCAGCUGGUUUUGGCUGAUUUUCACUGUUUUUUGCUGGGUACAUCAGCAUUUCAAAUAGUUUCAUUUUAUUCACAUCAUAUUUCGACUAAUUUGCUUUGAUUCGAGCUGUUUUGAGCUUAUUUCAGAGUGUUGGUUAUUUAAUUGGAACUUGUCAUAUUGGUACCUUAGCUUAUGCUCUUAUAACUUCUCUGAAAUUGAAUGGGAUUUAUUAUGUUUAUUUUGGGCAUGAUCAUAAAAGGCUUGUAGGAUCACUUAACAUUGAGGAAGCCUAUGGAUACUAGUUCCAGUAGUCUUUGGGAACAUAAAGAUAAUUAGAUUAUCUCCUUAUGUUGAAUGGUAUUAAGCCUCACAUUGGUUCCUCGUGUAUAUAUCUUCCUCCUGCCAUGGAGGAUUUGAUAUCAUCUUAAACAUAUGCAUUCUGAUACUAGGAAAAUCACUCGGUUUUAUGAGGUGUGUAAACAAUAUUUUUGGCUCGAACAAGGUGCUCAAAGUAGACUGGUACAACAAUCAGGUUGACCAUCCUUAAGGAGAGGGACAUGGAUCAACCUUUCUUCAUUGUCUUAAAGGCUAUGGAGAAAAAAUGUGUAGAUGUGGAUGUUGUUCAGUUUCUUAUUGGCCUCAAACCUGAGUAUGAGUCUGUUUAAGCGCAGAUUUUGAGUGCUUAUGAGCUCCCCUCUUUACCUGAUGUCCUUUCUUGAAUUUAGCGAGCUACCCUAUUUGAUAGCAGUGCUCAAUUGAGUUUUGAUCAUAAUUCUUUCUCUGCUUUUAUUGCUUAUUGUGAGGUUUCUGGUAGUUCCUUUUGGGGAAUAUGGAAGUAGAGGUGAUUGUUGUUUCUGUGGGAGUUAUUCAUUGGGUAUUGUUGUGAUCUACACGGUAAGCCAUCUGGAGCCGCUCAUGAGGUACCUUCUGAAGAAAAUUCUUUUGUCCCCAUCUUGUUACUAUAAGUUCAGCUCCAAAUUCUGGCAUGAUCCCCAUUCUGACAGAUGAGUAUGUUCAGUUCAUAACCCACUCAUGGGUUUCUUCCUAUUCUAUGGCUGCUCUUAUUUAGUUAGUUACUACAUCCCAUUGUCUUUUAUUCUCUACUAGCAACCUGUGGGUCAUUGACCAUGGAGCAACCAAACAUAAGGUUAUAAAGGAACAACUGUUUAUGAAUGGCUCAAGGUCGGCUCAUAUAUACUAUAGGUUUGAACAUGGUUUAAAUAUUGCUUCGAAUAUUGAACAAGCCAAACU